rnacentral:rRNA from 1 species
CGCGUGAGUGAAGAAGGCCUUCGGGUUGUAAAGCUCUUUCAGACGGAAAGAAACGGUCACGGCUAAUAACCGUGGCUAAUGACGGUACCGUAAGAAGAAGCACCGGCUAACUACGUGCCAGCAGCCGCGGUAAUACGUAGGGUGCGAGCGUUAAUCGGAAUUACUGGGCGUAAAGCGUGCGCAGGCGGUUUCGUAAGACAGAUGUGAAAUCCCCGGGCUUAACCUGGGAACUGCAUUUGUGACUGCGAGACUAGAGUGUAGCAGAGGGGGGUAGAAUUCCACGUGUAGCAGUGAAAUGCGUAGAGAUGUGGAGGAAUACCGAUGGCGAAGGCAGCCCCCUGGGCUAACACUGACGCUCAUGCACGAAAGCGUGGGGAGCAAACAGGAUUAGAUACCCUGGUAGUCCACGCCCUAAACGAUGUCAACUAGGUGUUGGGGAAGGAGACUUC